CACAGAUCCAUGCUGAUGAGAGGAGGGAUGACCAACAACAGCCAAAGCAAAGACUGCUGCAGCAGAUGUGAAGGGUCCAUGGAGAGAGCUGGCUUUGGAAACCGUUUCGGGGAUGAUUAAAAGCCAUUUUGACUCUCUUCAGGAAGUAAAUGAGAAAAAGCUGGUGACUCCUGGGAAGAAAGCAUGAAGUACUAACGGGAAGGUAUCAGUAAGGAAGCUCUGUUCAUGGAAGGCCAUGAGGAUAACCCACCAGGGCUGAGAACAGAAUGCAGGCUGAACAAAACUGAUCAAUAAUGGGAGGUUUCUAUCUAUACAAAACCAUGCUGGGUAUUCUGAAUUCGGUGAACAGUUACCUGUAAUUACUGGAGUGAGAUGAAGUGGCAACUCAUAAAAAUGGAUUCUAAGAUGCUCUAGAAGUGUCCAGUUCCCCACAGCAUCGUUCCAGUAUGAAGAAGAGUCUGCUGGUGAACACUGAUAGCCAGGAAAGCACUCCGCACAAGGCAAGCAUAAUAUAGCAAGGAGCACGCUUACAUACUAGCGCUGUACCAGAAAGCUCAAAGGGCGUCACUAUAAGCUGUCUGCAAGUGCAGCAUUGUUUUAUUGUUAGCUUGCUUUCUGGGACAGUUAUAGCUCAUGCCAUUUAUCACUCUCCCAGACUUGCCUAGGCCGUCUUAAUAAUUUGCUAUUAUAGACAAAUACUAAGCUCCCAGAAGCACCCUGUGACAACAGACUAGUUUUUCUGGUUUAUGAAAGG